rnacentral:rRNA from 1 species
AGAGUUUGAUCCUGGCUCAGGGUGAACGCUGGCGGCGCGCUAAAUGCAUGCAAGUCGAGCGUGAUCGUGGCUACGGCCACAAUGAUAAAGCGGCAGACGGCUGAGUAACGCGUGAGUAAUCUGCCCUCCGGUGGGGUAUAACCUCGGGAAGCUGAGGAUAAUCCCGCAUACGACCUGCAUCCCUAGGGGUGUAGAUGAAAGGCAUCGGUCGCCGGAGGAGGAGCUCGCGUCCUAUCAGGUGGUUGGUGAGGUAAUGGCUCACCAAGCCUAUGACGGGUAGCUGGUCUGAGAGGAUGACCAGCCAGAGGGGGACUGAGAACGGCCCCCACUCCUACGGGAGGCAGCAGCAGGGAAUCUAGGGCAAUGGGCGAAGGCCUGACCCAGCGACGUCGCGUGGGGGACGAAGGCCUACGGGUUGUAAACCCCUUUACCGAGGGAAGAGAAAGGACGGUACCUCGGGAAUAAGCCCCGGCUAACUACGUGCCAGCAGCCGCGGCAAUACGUAGGGGGCAAGCGU